rnacentral:rRNA from 1 species
UACGGAGGGGGCUAGCGUUGUUCGGAAUUACUGGGCGUAAAGCGUACGUAGGCGGCUUUGUAAGUUAGAGGUGAAAGCCCGGGGCUCAACCCCGGAAUUGCCUUUAAGACUGCAUCGCUUGAAUCGUGGAGAGGUGAGUGGAAUUCCGAGUGUAGAGGUGAAAUUCGUAGAUAUUCGGAAGAACAUCAGUGGCGAAGGCGGCUCACUGGACACGUAUUGACGCUGAGGUACGAAAGCGUGGGGAGCAAACAGG